GCGUGGAUGUCCGGCCUCCUGCAGUUGCAGAUCCCCGUUGGAUAAGCUGCUCCCAUGCAGGUUGGGUUCAAGGCCAUGCCUUGCUGGGAGAGGAGGGUGUCCCUAAUGGACACCUUGGAAGGUCUUCUCUCGCCCAUCUCCUCUGUUCGGUUCAGUUCUCUGCCAAUUCAGUUUCCUUUCUAAUUCUCGCAACAUGAACAACUUGUUACAGCUGAAGCAGCAUUAGAGUUGACAGAAAGAGCUAGGCCAUAAUUGAACUUGUUCAGACCUUGAACCUGCUUUAAGCUCAGCUACAGUAGAUGAUUCAGCAUUGAACUGUCAUUCUCGGAUAUGCAUUGAACUGUAAAAGAUUCAUCCAAAUAAAUUAUACAAAGAGAUUGUAGAAAUACCACAAAUCGGAAGUGGGUCAUCGCUUAACAAAGAACUUGUACAUGAUGUAAGCAAAUCAUGGGAGGAUCCAGCCAUUGAGAUGAAAAUAAGUUCUUAUUUCAGUUUCUAGAAUGGUGUAUACUGUCAAACAACCAACUAAAUCCAUCUGUAGGGAACUUACUUGUGUGCAAGUGUGGUGCAACUUCCUGACUGCACAUUACUUCACGGUAAAUCUGGGUUGAGCAGCUCAAGAAGAUUACGUACCAACAAAGGUCCGUGCUUACCCACACUCUAAUUCAUGCUCGAGCUCGAUGACUCCAGCUUGGCCACCACGACGCAGCGCACCACAACAGAAAUUGCUCAAGUCAUGGAUCCGCAUGGUCAUCGCUGACCGUCCAAGAUCGACGACGAGAUGAGGCCGACCAUCGUCAAGCAGCGCCAUGUCCCGAUGGAGGCCGGCCGUAUUCGGUCGAUUCCGUCCCACCCCUUUACCAGCAGGGCUGCCCCCCUUCUUCAGCGGGGUGUGGCACAUUGCUGUUGCGGUGUCCCUUGACGACGGCCUCCCUCCCGACGGGCUGCAGGACCAUGGGAAGAUUGACUCGCAGCGCACACUGCUUCAGUGGCCGCUUCGAGUUUGAUGACUUGGAGGGAUCAAAGUCAAGGGACCCUAGCAACAAGUUUCAUCCCUAGAAGCCUUCCUCCCUCCUGAUCAACUUCUGUCAUGUGUGUCAUUUAGUUUCAGCUUCAUCAACAGGAUGGAUUCGGUACCAUAGAGAUUGGCCCCGCUGCCAUGCGAAUGAGGCGUGUUUUUCAGCAUCGGCUACAAAAUCGCCAUGCAUCAGGAUGAAUUCGCUACUGCAGAGGUGAAAGGGCUCAUUAAAUCGUGCCGGGGAAGGGGCGCGGCGGCCUCGGCGGCAUCUUCCGUUGGACGGACCCAUUUUCGCCGGCGACGCUGUUUGGACAACUCAACAAACAAGAAAUGGAUGCUUACCUGAACAUGAACCUUGAGUUUGACCGCCAGCUUGUCUGCAGUUUGUGGAAAUCCAGCCAAGGAGAAGCAACUCUGGCCGAUGUGGUGAGCAAGGUGCUCGUUCAACAUCACCACCAGCCCAGUGUCCCUAGUUCUGACACUGCCAUACGCCGACACCAACUCCUCCGUCCUCCUACUUGUUGUACAAUUCGGGAUCAGGAAUCGGGAUUUUCCUACAGGGGAGAGGUUCCUCAGCAACCGAUGUGAACCCCAAACUACACCAGAACGAUGCUCACUCCGAGCCGCCAUCGACAGCUGCACUUCGUCGUUGGGAUCCGUGACGGGGAUGGGGGAUUUUACUGGAGACUCAAACCCCUGUUUGGAUCCGGCACCCGACCCGGGUCUCCUAAGACGAGAAUCGAUUGGCUCAUGAUACCAAUUGUAAGGUUCAGAGUUUUUACACAAUGUAGCACUAACAGAAAUGGAAUUCAGACAAGAGGAAAGCAGUAAAGCAAAAGAGAUAAGCUACAGUGGUGUUGUCGGAAUUUGAACAGCGACGUCCAGGAGCAGCUUCGCUGGUGGAUCAGAGAUCGACGAUAGACACAUCAGCACAUAGGCGCGAAGCGGCAUGAAGUGGCUUGGGUGGUAGGAUCGAAGAUCUACUGAUGAAAUCCAAUCUGGCAACUGAAGAUAACUGAAACUAUUGGGCACCUGCAGCUCGACACAAACAGAGUUCCUGACAAAUGUCAGUACUGCCACUUGUGAAGGAGAAUAUGAAAGCCAUGCAGCUAUCAACACCGUGGUCCUACACUAUACCCAAAUCAGGAAUUCAAGAGGCAGAGGGGAGGAGCUAGUACGACUCACCCUGCCUCCUAGUACAUACAGGAUGCCAUGGAAGGUCCUAUCCUCUCAGUUAGUCAAAUGUUCGCCGUCAAGCAUCCUACUGACAUGGCUGACUAACCUUGCACUGUGUCAUGUUUCUCCCGCACGAAGCAACGGAGGAUCAUCAUGUUUUCUGUUUGUUGGUGCCACGACGCGGCACCCGUGGAUUUACUCUUUUUUUGUAGUCAUGUAGCUUUUGUUGGGUUUGGAUGCUGGCUUGUACUGGGAGCGGAUUUUGUUUUGGUUUGGAUAGCUUUGUUUCCAUGAUGGAGCAGGGCCUCGAGUCCUGAAAAAUUACCUUUUCUAAUUCUGUAGUAGCUGUGUGUGAGAAAGAAAGAAAGAAAGAAAGAAGCUUUUUCAUUAUCUAAACGGAAUGUAUCCUUUUGUAAUCCUGUACUAGGAUGCAAUCAAAUAACUGAAUGUUUCCUUUUCUGAUGAUCUAAAUAAAGAAUCACAUAAACAAUUUGAGGAUC